CAGCAACGUGUGUGAACGGCAGGAUUUCAGUCGCCUCGCAAAUCGUCCAUCAUAAAUAUAACGAAAAUGGAAAGGAGAAGAAGGCUUCAUCCUCAACAGGAUGCUGAAAAACAUAUUCAAUUGAAGACUGACAAGGCUGGUCUUACAGAGCAUUUCAUCAACCCCUAUAAAGGUCGAGGUGUGCUUGCUACCAAGGAAUUCAACCAAGGAGACUUCAUGCUUGAAUAUCGGGGUAAACUUUUCAAACAGGAUCAUCAUACAAACUACAACUACAAUGAUACAGAAGCAGUGUUCCUGUUUGAUUUCAAAUGGAAUGGGAAAUGUUGGUGGUAAGUAGUAAUACAUAUGCCCUUGUUUGUAGAUGAUAGAAUUGCAAUAGUUAUGAGAUAAGCUUUAAAUGGCCCAC
rnacentral:lncRNA from 1 species